AGAACGAACGCUGGCGGCAGGCCUAACACAUGCAAGUCGAACGCCGUAGCAAUACGGAGUGGCAGACGGGUGAGUAACACGUGGGAACAUACCCUUCGGUUCGGAAUAACUCAGGGAAACUUGAGCUAAUACCGGAUACGUCCGCGAGGAGAAAGAUUCAUCGCCGGAGGAUUGGCCCGCGUCUGAUUAGCUUGUUGGUGAGGUAAUGGCUCACCAAGGCGACGAUCAGUAGCUGGUCUGAGAGGAUGAUCAGCCACAUUGGGACUGAGACACGGCCCAAACUCCUACGGGAGGCAGCAGUGGGAAUAUGGACAAUGGGCGAAAGCCUGAUCCAGCCAUGCCGCGUGAGUGAUGAAGGCCUUAGGUUGUAAAGCUCUUUACUCGGGAAGAUAAUGACGGUACCGAGAGAAUAAGCCCCGGCUAACUUCGUGCCAGCAGCCGC
rnacentral:rRNA from 1 species